UGGUUUCGGAGCGCAGCACAAGUCGCGCUCUUUUCCAGCCAAGGUCAGCGUCCACCAAGCCACAUUUUCAACUUUUGACCUCGGAUCAGGUAGGGAUACCCGCU
rnacentral:rRNA from 1 species